rnacentral:rRNA from 1 species
AUGGCCAGGAGUCUUCUCAAGAGUUUGGGUGUGCCUGCAAAGUUUUGGGGAGAAGCUGUGUGCACUGCAGUGUAUCUCCUCAACAGAUACCCUACAAAAAGUGUGAAGAACAUGACGCCAUAUGAAGCAUGGCAUGAGAAAAAACCAAAGGUGCAGCACUUGCGUACGUUUGGUUGCGUCGCUCAUGUAAAAUUAGUUGGACCUGGACAAAAUAAACUCCCUGACAGAAGCAAGAAAAUGGUGUUUAUUGGAUACGAACCUGGCUCAAAGGCAUACCAGAUGUAUGAUCCGGAAGGGAAGAAGUCGGUGGUGUCUAGAGAUGUUGCGUUUGAAGAGGGUAGGUGUUGGGACUGGGACCCACAGUCAAGUUCAGGUGAAGAAGAACGAAGCACUUUCACUGUCGUGUUUUCAGAUCAGGGCAGAGUCCAAGAGGAAGCAAGCUCAGCCGAAACGGCCACCGUGGCAGAGAAAAGUGCUGCUGGAGAAGGUGAUUUCAGAACUCCUACCGUGGCAGCAUAA